rnacentral:rRNA from 1 species
UACGUAGGGGGCAAGCAUUGUCCGGAUUUAUUGGGCGUAAAGAGCUCGUAGGUGGUUUGGUAAGUCGGAUGUGAAAUCUCCAGGCUCAACCUGGAGGGGUCAUUCGAUACUGCCAUGACUAGAGGUCGGUAGGGGAGUGUGGAAUUCCUGGUGGAGCGGUGAAAUGCGCAGAUAUCAGGAGGAACACCCGUAGCGAAGGCGGCACUCUGGGCCGAUUCUGACACUGAGGAGCGAAAGCGUGGGGAGCGAACAGG